AUAAAACUUACCGAAAACAAGAUGUUUUACAUUUAUCCUUCAGAAGCAGGAAAAAUGAAAAGUUUUUUUUUCUUUCUCUGCCGUCCAUGAUAUAAACUUUAAAUUCAUUCAUGCAAAAUAUGAAAAUCUGCAAAAGGUAGGACCUUGAACCUCAGCUUAUCCACAUUUUGACUUUUGAACUGAAUAUUUGUUCUUUUCAUCUUGCUGACAACCUAAACAUAAAAAAAUGAUAAAACAUAAUUAACUUUGUGUUUUUAUUUUUGUUGGUACAAACAAUUUUUCCCAACUUAAAACGAAAACAUCAUCACAAAAAAGGAGGUCAUACUAACCUCCUAAAUAUUUAAACAAACC
rnacentral:lncRNA from 1 species